rnacentral:rRNA from 1 species
UACGUAGGUCCCGAGCGUUGUCCGGAUUUAUUGGGCGUAAAGCGAGCGCAGGUGGUUUAUUAAGUCUGGUGUAAAAGGCAGUGGCUCAACCAUUGUAUGCAUUGGAGACUGGUAGACUUGAGUGCAGGAGAGGAGAGUGGAAUUCCAUGUGUAGCGGUGAAAUGCGUAGAUAUAUGGAGGAACACCGGUGGCGAAAGCGGCUCUCUGGCCUGUAACUGACACUGAGGCUCGAAAGCGUGGGGAACAAACAGG